UGGAGGUGAUGUCAAACCCUGUCCUGACCCACCGUGGGGGGAAAAGACUGAUUUAAUGAGGCUGAUCC
ensembl:snoRNA SNORD57 small nucleolar RNA SNORD57